rnacentral:rRNA from 1 species
GACGAACGCUGGCGGCGCGCUUAACACAUGCAAGUCGAGCGAGAACCGGGGCUUCGGCCCCGGGGACAGCGGCGAACGGGUGAGUAACACGUGAGUAACCUGCCCUCGGCACCGGAAUAGCCCGGGGAAACCCGGAUUAAUGCCGGCUAGCCCCCCUGCCCUGCGGGGCGGCGGGCAAAGGCCGCUUCGGCCUCUGGCCGAGGAUGGGCUCGCGGCGGAUUAGCUUGUUGGCGGGGUAACGGCCCACCAAGGCGACGCUCCGUAGCUGGUCUGAGGGGACGAUCAGCCACACUAGGACUGAGACACGGCCCAGACUCCUACGGGAGGCAGCAGUGGGGAAUCUUGCGCAAUGGGCGAAAGCCUGACGCAGCGACGCCGCGUGCGGGAAGAAGGCCUUCGGGUUGUAAACCGCUUUCAGGAGGGAUGAAGCCACUCGGGUGAACAGCCCAGAGGGUGACGGUACCUCCAGAAGAAGCCCCGGCUAACUACGUGCCAGCCGCCGCCGUAAAAC